GUAACAGCUCACCCGCCGAGGCUGACGGCCUCGAAAAUUGACGGGGCUAAGCCAGCUACCGAUACCUUAGAACGCAGUAUAUGCUGCGCUGGUAGGAAGGCGUCCUAGUUGGGCAGAAGCUGGGCUGUGAGGUCCAGUGGACCGAUUAGGAUUGCGGAUCCCGGUGGUAGUAACAGCAAAGAGAAGUGAGAAUCUUCUCCGCCGAAGGGGCCAGGGUUCCCCGGCAACGAUCGUCAGCCGGGGGUAAGUCGAUCCUAAGGCAUAACUUAACCGAUUAUGCCGAAAAAGGGAAUCCGGCUAAAAUUCCGGAACCAUAGAGGUACGCGCGGUAACGCAAGCUUAGUGUUGACGCUUCGGGAUAGACUGAGCAAGGUCUUCGCCUUGUUUAACUUUAUAAACCUGGGGAGUGCCGUAAUGGCGAGAACUAGGUGAAAUUGGGAAUAGCCACCCGUUUUAGGGAGGUUCAGUUAAUUUCUGGAGCCACUGAAAAACACACUAAGAAGGAUCCUCUAUGAUCGUACCUAGAACCGACACAGGUGUCCCUAGGCAAGAAACCUAAGGCGUGUCGGGUAUACACUAAUGCGAGGGAACUCGGCAAAUUAGCCCCGUACCUUUGGUAUAAGGGGUGCCUGCUCUUUCAGACUUGUGCUGGAAGAGCAGGUCGCAGUGUCAAAGGGGUCUCGACUGUUUAAUAAAAACAUAGGAAACCGCAAGAGCGAAAGCUUGUGAACGGUUUCUGAAUCCUGGCCAGUACAGGUACCUGAAACCUGGGUCCAACUGGGCUAAGGGCCUGCAAACGCCGGGAGUAACUCUGACUCUCUCAAGGUAGCCAAAUGCCUUGUCGGGUAAGUUCCGACGUGCAUGAAUGGAUCAACGAGGGCCCCACUGUCCCCGCGUAGUACCCGGUGAAACCACAUAACGUGGACGAACAGUCCACGAUCUCCCAGCGGGAAAAGAAGUCCCUGUGGAGUUUUACUGCAGCCUGUCGCUGGAAUACGGCUAUGGAUACAGAGUGUAGUCGGGAGCCGUCGAUCCUGCGUCCUCCGGGACGUGGGGGAGGCAACAAUGGAACACCGACUUUCUGUAACCGUGUUUCUUACCGGCUCCUAGAGGGCCGGAACAACGGUAGGUGGGCAGUUCGGCUGGGGCGGCACGCCCUUGAAAAGAUAUCAAGGGCGCCCUAAGGUUGGCUCAGGGGGGACAGAAACCCUCCGUAGAGUGCAAGGGCAAAAGCCAGCCUGACUGUAUCCCAAACAGUAAGGGAUGCAGAGGAGAAAUCCGGGCUUAGCGAUCAUCCAUGCUCCCCUUUGGUGGGGGCUGGAUGUGUCAGAAAAAUUACCCUAGGGAUAACAGGCUCGUCGCGGGCGAGAGUCCCCAUCGACCCCGCGGCUUGGUACCUCGAUGUCGGCUCUUCCUAUCCUGGUCCUGCAUAAGGGACCAAGGGUGAGGCUGCUCGCCUAUUAAAAGGGAACGUGAGCUGGGUUUAGACCGUCGUGAGACAGGUCGGACUUUAUCUGCUGGGAGUGUUGGCUGCCUGAGGGGAAAGGGUCCCUAGUACGAGAGGAACGGGACGCUGUAGCCUCUAGUUAACCGGUUGUCUGAUAAGGCAGUCGCCGGGCAGCCACGCUGUUGUGGAUAAGAGCUGAAAGCAUCUAAGCUCGAAGCCUCUCCCGAAAAGAGGCAGCCAUUCCAGUUUCACUGGACGAAGGCACCCAUAGAAGAUGGGUUUGAUGGAGCCGGGGUGUACGCUAGAAGACUUCGGUCGACUAGCUCAGCCUGCGGCCACCAAUCGCCUAAGUUGUCAAUCAA
rnacentral:rRNA from 1 species